rnacentral:lncRNA from 1 species
CACCAUCAUCACGAUGCUCGUAAGCAUCCAUCAUCGCCAUCACCGCAGUGACCAAAGAUUCAACACAAUUUAAGCAUCAAGUUGAGUAGAGAGUAAUUCUUGUUUAAACAUGUGUAUAAGAUGAGUAGAGCAGCUAAGCAGACCUAGUAUAGCCUAGUCUACCCAAAUACAUAACCCCAGGUGAGCAAGGAAUAAUAAGUAAAGCUAGUCAUGUCCUUAGGGUUUGCAUUCAUUGGACACAUGCAUAUAAAGUAAAUGACAUUAAUGAAUAGGUUCAAAAUGAUCAAACGGUG